AUUGAACGCCGGCGGCAGGCUUAACACAUGCAAGUCGAGCGGAGAUGAGGUGCUUGCACCUUAUCUUAGCGGCGGACGGGUGAGUAAUGCUUAGGAAUCUGCCUAUUAGUGGGGGACAACAUUCCGAAAGGAAUGCUAAUACCGCAUACGUCCUACGGGAGAAAGCAGGGGAUCUUCGGACCUUGCGCUAAUAGAUGAGCCUAAGUCGGAUUAGCUAGUUGGUGGGGUAAAGGCCUACCAAGGCGACGAUCUGUAGCGGGUCUGAGAGGAUGAGCCGCCACACUGGGACUGAGACACGGCCCAGACUCCUACGGGAGGCAGCAGUGGGGAAUAUUGGACAAUGGGGGGAACCCUGAUCCAGCCAUGCCGCGUGUGUGAAGAAGGCCUUAUGGUUGUAAAGCACUUUAAGCGAGGAGGAGGCUACUGAGACUAAUACUCUUGGAUAGUGGACGUUACUCGCAGAAUAAGCACCGGCUAACUCUGUGCCAGCCGCCGCAGUAACAC
rnacentral:rRNA from 1 species